GACGAACGCUGGCGGCGUGCUUAACACAUGCAAGUCGAACGGUAAGGCCCUUCGGGGUACACGAGUGGCGAACGGGUGAGUAACACGUGGGUGAUCUGCCCUGCACUUCGGGAUAAGCCUGGGAAACUGUGUCUAAUACCGGAUAGGACCACUGCCUGCAUGGGCGGUGGUGGAAAGCUUUUGCGGUGUGGGAUGGGCCCGCGGCCUAUCAGCUUGUUGGUGGGGUGAUGGCAUACCAAGGCGACGACGGGUAGCCGGCCUGAGAGGGUGACCGGCCACACUGGGACUGAGAUACGGCCCAGACUCCUACGGGAGGCAGCAGUGGGGAACAUUGCACAAUGGGCGCAAGCCUGAUGCAGCGACGCCGCGUGAGGGAUGACGGCCUUCGGGUUGUAAACCUCUUUCAGCACCGACGAAGCGCAAGUGACGGUAGGUGCAGAAGAAGGACCGGCCAACUACGUGCCAGCCGCCGCGGUAA
rnacentral:rRNA from 1 species